GUAUAAAUCUUGAAACCAUAGCUGCCCUGACCACAGUCACCAACAGAAAAAUAGAAAGGUGAAGACUGACUAAGCCAGUUAUUUUGACCAUGUGGAGAAAGGACUAAGAGUAAGCAGAAACUGACAUUGUAUAGAGCAGAGUGCCUUACAACACUCACCUUAGGACAGUAAGUGCCAUAUGAGAUGAUCUCUUCAGCACCAAACUUUACAUCUCACUUGCAUGGGUGGUGUGUUGACUUCCAUAUUUUCCUGACUCCUAAAUUAUGGAGGUAAGUGAAGUUUUAAUAUCGAUUAUAGCCAUGAGGCACUUAUUCUGAAUUUGUAUUCUCUCUUUUUUAAUUACUUAGCAUUUUUGUAGCAUUGUGUUUUUAUUAACAAAUUAUGUAUAUCCCAAUCAUGGCUACACUGUCUUACUGUGCUUAAUUGUAUAAUUUUGUGUAACUUCCAGUGAGUUAGGAUUCCUAUGUACAUCUAUAUUUUCAUCUCAUUUUGGUAUGGAAUUAUCCAAGUAAAUUUGUAAGAGAAAACAGCAUAUUUUUUGUAGUCUGUUACUUGAGUCAGCUCUUCCAGACUGGAUUAUAUAAAUAUUCUUAUCUAUCUUUGAAUCUACCAUAAUUCUUGUUUUUCCAAGUAUCUGUUCACCAAGACUAUAGCUUUCCAAACAUUUCAGUUCAGUUAAUCUUUAGGUACCAAACAUGGGGGGUGGGGCUAUAAAGCACUAUCUAAUUUUUAUCUUAAAAGAAUUCAUGGAACCUGAGACAUAACAAUCAAAUUUCUUUGGAGUCUUUUUGUUGUGGUGGUGGUAGUGGUGGUUGUUGUUAUCAUUGUUCUGGGAAUUGAACCUAGAACCUUGCUCAUGCUUCCCAAAUGCUCUGUUGCUGAUUCACCUUAUGAAAAAGGUAAAUCAAGCCUACUUGGGAACCUAAUGACAAUUAUGUUCUUUACAGAAGUGUUGAGAAAUUAUGAGGAGUGACAUGGAGUACAAAGAGUUUGUAUUUGAUAUGUUCUACACAGCCAAUAUGGAGCAGGAGCCCGGCCAUAGCGGCUUGGGACCAGAGACCACGGACUGCUCGUCGGUCCAGCCUAGCCUCGGGCCAAGCACAACUGAAAUGAAGUCAACUAUCAUUUCCCUUUCCGCAACAUUGCGUCAGUUUCUUUUCGAUUUUAGGAAGAACACCAGCGAUCCAAUUCUCCUUAACACUGUCUUGAAGCCAAAUGAGCACUACUGUUUUGUUUUUUUGGGUUUUUCUCCCCCUUUGGAGGGGAGAAAGAAGUAAAUUUGAUUAUAAUACACUGUUAAUAGUUCAGUCUAACUCUUGUGCUGUCCACUCUGUAUGGGCACUUGGUUUAAUAUCAAACCAUUAAGCCAAUGAGUUGUCAGUGAAGAGUACAAAGAUAAAUGAAAUCACUCCUCUAAAAUUUAAAAUCAUGAGAGAAUUGAGACAAGUACAGAACCAUAGAGUAUGCUCCAGGGUUAUUUUCUCUCCUUGAAAGAGCGGGCUUUGGCGGGAAAUAGCGGGUUAUUUUGGAGAGAGGGUGUUCAAGCCCUACCAUAGCUAGUUCUUAGGCCCUUGAUUGAUAAUAGCCCAAACCCGCAAAAAGUCCCUCCACUUCCUAUUCUCCUCCCUGGCUACAGCAAGGUACACUUUGUGGAAUAGUUCCUAUACGGCUGUCUUCAGCAGCACAUAUACUAAAAUAGUUCCUAUAAUUUCUAUUAUUUAGUCUUCUCAAGAACACUGCGGAAUGGGAAUUCGGAUUCUUAUCCCAUAGGUGAAACAACUUAAACAUGAAAAACAGCAGAGGCUAAACUCAGAUUCCAUGUACAGGUAAUCUAUCUACAGUACCACGACUGACUCAGUGCCAAUGAAAAUUGCAUCCUGAGUCUCCACUAAAAUAUUAUUAUUAAAAAUAAAUUGGUUUAUAGAAACAUUUCAAAUACCCUAAUAGUAAAAUGAUAGAUUGCAAAUUAUUAACUCAUCGACCACAAAUUAUCCUCAAUUACACAUAUUUAUGUAGUUAGAUUAGGGGCAUGGUGAAUACUGACAUACUCUGCCCAACUAAAUGUGAAACACCUAUUAAAUCUGCAUAGCAACCCCUGGACUGUUGAAGAGCACAGUAUAUAAACUCUCUUUAGUAUAGGAAAAUGACGAAGAAAGAAUAGCUUUCGAAAGGGAACUGCUUGCUGUGAGUAUCCAGGCUAGAAGAAGAGUGACUGCCAGAUGAAACCCACAUGCACAGCCACAGCCUUCACAAAAGAGCACAGAUGUAACUAGAUCCUGCUAGAGGUAACACAGGAAUGAUCAAAAUGCUCGUCACACUGGAAUUGCCUUCUAUUGACUGCUCUUUAAAUAAGUAAAUAGCUGACACUUGAAAUUCACUUAGCAUAGCAAUAAGACUAGUUUUUCAAGUCACUUGCUAUCUCUAAGCAUCAGUGUUUGGCUAUGUAAAAUGAAAAUUGUGAUACAUUUGGUUACAGCUAGGUAAUAUAUAAAGCAACCAACAUUGUGUCUGAAAUAUUAAGGGCUUAACAAGUGGUUGCCAGUGUAACAUGGAAGAAGAAAACUAUGGUUGUUUUGUUGCCUUGGAUUUUAAAACCUAGGCUCAAGGACAAGUCUUGAGAUAAGCUCUCGAGGUGAAGAAGGUGAGGAAACUAGUACCAAAAUUUUAACAUUUCUAUAUCUAGCCCAGGGUAGUUGUUUUAAGAGCUUAUAUCCUACUUCUCAACCCAUUCCUCUGUGCCUAAAUCAAGGAGAAAAAAAGGAAAAAUCAUAUUCAAUUAAAGGAAGACUUUACUAUUUUUAAAGCUAUAUAUUUUCAAAGAAAUGAACACUCAAAAUAUUCUAUUAAAGAGAAAAAUACCUGUAAAAAUCUGUUCAUUACAAAAGACAGAAAAACACCUAAGACUUGAUGAGAUUAAAUGGAUUUCUUCCCUGGUUUGAAGAAAAUUCUAGAUUCCAUAUAUUUCAGGACAGCAAGAUCAGUUAGCUUUGUAAAAGACUGAGAGACAUUUAAGCAACAGUAAAUUUGGCCUUUAGUUGUUUCAGUAGAUGCAAAGAAUUUUAAGAAGAAAGUAAUUCAGGUAAUUAACAUAUGCUAAUAAUUUUAAACUCAAACUAUAUAAUCCGCAAGAUUGUGCUAGAAACCAAAAGUGUUAGUCGAAUUUCCCAAAUCAAGGUGUCAGCUGGAAAGAGACCUAAUGACGCUAUCGUGGCUUCCUCAUGAUAGUCUGACCUACACACUCCAGGGUGUAUUUUUAUCCUCCUUUUUCCUCUUUUCUCAGUCCAAGCUUGCUCUGCAGAGCCAGUUGCUCCCCCACACUUCUACUUUUUCAAAUAAACUUUGUCACUGCAAAAGAGAAAAGAGAAAUAUUGAGAUUAAAUAGAACCUUACUGUGAGAAAUGGGAAACCACUGAUGAAUAAUUAUGCACAUGGUACUAAAAACAAUGAAAGCAGAAUUUUUGGAAGAGUAACCUGGUAACAUCCAAGAUUUAAGGUAGAAGAAAUUCCUUUACUACCUAUUGAAAAGUAUAGAUUUUUUAAAGAUACGAUUAUAUAAAAGUACAGCAUAUGUUAUAAUCUUAUCACUUGACAUAAAAUAUUAAAUUCCUAAUAAGAUGUAAUAUAGAAUUAAUCAUAACAAAUAUUCUCCUAAAACCCUC
rnacentral:lncRNA from 1 species